AGACCUAAGGCAUGCUCCAGCAGCUUAGCAGAAAGGGAUGCAUUUUGAAGGGUUCGAGCUGAACCUGUGGGUUUUGCAAUGAAGCAGCUAAGGUGUGGGCACAUGUUCGCUUCUGCGAAUUCUGCUGAGGAAGCACUAAUCCCCAGUAAAAGGGUGGAGCAGGGUGUUUGGGGCAGUAGCAACUUAAACCACUUCAAGGAGGUUUGCCAGAGCUUGUCUGUUAGCAAUCGAGCUUUACUCCUGUAAAGAACUGUAUCGACUUCAAAGGGACUGCAUGCACCAGUGCCACUAGUGACAUCCGUGCCUGCAAAUCUCAUCAUCUCUGACAAUGAACUCCUGGAGCAAUCAACACCUCUGUUUCUCAAGAAGUGCAUUCAAAACAUGUCAGUUCUUCUGUGACACAAUGAGUUCCCAGGUCUUUGCUUCAGUGUGCUGAAAUCAAUUGCUCCUCUAAAUUAUUCUUCUAAGAGGAGAAAAAUAUGUAUUUAGGUUCAGAUGCGUAAAGUAAAUGACAUGACUCCGUGGCUAGCUUAUGCUCCUUGGUGCUCAGGACGCCCACGCACAGUUUGGAUUGGAAGCGUUCUCACACCACAGGUAAUGAGAAUGUAAGAAGACAGGUUACCAGAAGUGUUCACAAGCCAGCCGGAGACACCUAAAUGCGAGCACUAGAACAUACCUGCGGCCCGGCAGCACUCUCCCAAAGAUCUUCAGCACCAUUAAUAAUCAGCUCUCAAACUGGGCAGAGGAUUACUAGGAAACAUUUCAGCAAACUCUGGCUGCAGGUCUCCUGUAUUUUCACUUUUGGUUCAAAGCACUGUUUUUCACACAGCCUUGACCAGCUGCAGACGAGAGGAGAGGGGAAGCAGUGGUAGCAGGGGGAAAGGACAUGGAAGCACCACAGUCUGGACUACCAGUGGGUAUAAAAAUGGUGGUGAUGAAAGAAGCCUCAUGACAAGUAAGCAAGAGAGCACAUAACCUUCCACUUUGGCAGAGAAUACUACCGGAUUUUGGGAGGCAGACGAGUCGCCUCCUAAAGCUAUGAGUGAACAUCUCCGCUCAAAGGAAAUCGAGGACCAGAACAGCAGAUGCAACACAGAUCUAGACUGAGAUGCCACCUUGUGCAAAGCAGUAUUUAACCCCUCAAAUUUUGCAGGCACUGCAUUUCAGAAGUGUUCACAACUUCUCCCUUCUCUGCUCAGUGUUCUCUACGUGUAUGUUGUACCUGGUUUAUUCAGUCAUCAACUGUUUCUCACAGAAGAGAUCCCGUGAGCAAUGUCAGUUAUCUCCAACUUACAAGGGGAGGUGCUGAAGCAGAGGAGGAGCAGAAAAUGUGAAGAGGCUCUUACUGUUACACCCAAGGCUGAGUAUAAAAGAAUCUCCCAAAUUCUUACUCAUUUUUCCAGACGAGGGCACCAUGACUCCCAUAUAUGAAUACAUCAAGGCCUAAUUUCUGGACAAUAGCAUGUCUAAGAUACAUAAUUUACAAAUUAAAGGACAUUAUAUUAAAGGAUAGAAGAGUAACUAGACAGACUCUUAGGACUGCGGAUUAUAUUAAUCAGAAAGACUUAACACCAUUGAUUUUAAUGGCACAAUAAAAAUUAUUCUUUGUACCCAGUAUUUCUCCCGGUGGCUUCUACUGCAGUAGUUCACAGUACAUAAAGGACAUUAAAAAAGCUGUGUGCUAUCUGAAGUGGUUUGAGUGGGACUUAAACUCCAUGCAGGCCUUGAACAACUCAUGUGCAAAGAGGUGAAAUUCACUCCGUGAAGAACGGCUUUACUUUUUUUAAUUGUCAUUAGAAGUAAUACCCACUAGACAGCGGUGUGAAACGCUGCCAUUGAUUACCUGGAUAAAGCUUUGCAUUGUAAGUGUUUUUCAAAAAUAGAGUUGUAACAACGUCUGCAAGAGUACUGGCAAAGUAAUUUUUCAGCUUGAUCUCUUCAUGUUAAUUGAAUUGUAGUUCUUCCACUACUUGCAACUUUAAAAUGAAUAUAGGCAGUUGAGGCAAAGGCCUGGUUUUUCACACUUUGAAAAGCUUGUUAGCUCUUCCUGCUGAACCUUCAAUUAAUCUGUAUUUUAGGUUAGAUUGUAUCUCAGGAGGAACACACAGACCACAUGAGAGGUUACAAAAUUCAGGGAUUUGAUCCUGGCUCACUCACCCCCUUUCCACGUGAAUUUCAACCCACCACCAGGCGGGUGUGUGCUCCUUCACGUAUCCAGCUCGGCAGGCACAGAAAGUUUAAGGCUUGCAGCAAUUAUUUUGACAAUAAUGGAAUUUUAGUGCUUCUGUGUCCAACCCAGAACCUUAUAUGGGUGCAAAACUGCCAUAUCCAACUGACAGUGUAAAGAAAUCUAUUUUGGGAAGAGAAUUAUGCUCAUACUUUAAGUUCCUUCAACUUGCUAAAACUGAUUGCAAGAUGUGGACUGCAGUGUCACAGACUGAAGAAAUAUUCGUCAGCAAGUACAUAUAUGCACGUACAGUACCUUCCAUACGCAUGGAAGUACCUUUGUGAAGUUACAACUAUUUUAUCGUCACUCCUGACUUCUACACCGGCCCCCCGCUCUUUACAACUGGCACAACCACCUUUCAGUUUGCUUUUCUCUCCCAAAUCAGUCCUCCGUCUAGAAGACGUAGACCACCUUGUUCCCUGCUGGCUGCAUCUGCAGCCAAGUGCUGUUCCUCACCCGCUUGCCUUAAAUGACAAAAAGUUUUGACUGCUGAAAGCAUUUUGGGGCAAAAAAUACAAGCACCUGAUGGAUACCAUUUUUAUCCUUUUAAACACAACCCCUGAGAGCAUUUUAUGUUAAGAGAAUAAAGUAAUUGCCACUCUAAAUAAAGUACUAAGCAGCACCUUAAAUGUGCACACGUGAAUAUUACACGUUCAAUUUCAUUUUCAUUUACAGCAAAUAGGAGGGCAUCCAUACAAAAAAUACUCUGAUCUCAUAUAUGAAAUAUAUAUAUUGUAGAGUGGGUUAUACUUCAAAUGAAAUAAUUUUAUAGAGGCAUUCAGAAGGCACCGAGGAGACAGUAGAAAUAAUUGUUUUAGUAUAAUUUAAAAUGUAAAUGUCAUGUAAUAUGUAAUUAAAUGUAAAUCUGCACCUUAAACCUUCAAUCCAUCAAUGUAAAUCUCCAUUUAAGAAACAAAAUUUCCAUGUGAUCAUGUUAAUUCCUCCUUCUAUAAUAAUUACAGAAUGAGAAAUGUAUAACCUUCCAUUAAAACACUGGUAACUGUCUUCAUAACAGACUGACUUGGAAAACUAUUUAAAAAAUGGUUACUAAUAAAAAUAGAUUUAAAGAUGUAAAUUGUUUAUUCACAU